GAUGAACGCUAGCUACAGGCUUAACACAUGCAAGUCGCAGGGUAACAUGAGGAAAGCUUGCUUUCCUUGAUGACGACUGGCGCACGGGUGAGUAACGCGUAUCCAACCUUCCCAUAACUACGGGAUAACCCGUUGAAAGACGGCCUAAUACCGUAUGACAUCGUUUGCUGACAUCAAAUAACGAUUAAAGGUUUAGCGGUUAUGGAUGGGGAUGCGUCUGAUUAGCUUGUUGGCGGGGUAACGGCCCACCAAGGCGACGAUCAGUAGGGGUUCUGAGAGGAAGGUCCCCCACAUUGGAACUGAGACACGGUCCAAACUCCUACGGGAGGCAGCAGUGAGGAAUAUUGGUCAAUGGGCGAGAGCCUGAACCAGCCAAGUAGCGUGCAGGAGGACGGCCCUAUGGGUUGUAAACUGCUUUUAUGUGGGGAUAAAGUGCGUGACGUGUCAUGCAUUGCAGGUACCACAUGAAUAAGGACCGGCUAAUUCCGUG
rnacentral:rRNA from 1 species